rnacentral:rRNA from 1 species
AUUGAACGCUGGCGGAAUGCUUUACACAUGCAAGUCGAACGGCAGCACGGACUUCGGUCUGGUGGCGAGUGGCGAACGGGUGAGUAAUGUAUCGGAACGUGCCCAGUCGUGGGGGAUAACGUAGUGAAAAUUACGCUAAUACCGCAUACGAUCUAUGGAUGAAAGCGGGGGAUCGCAAGACCUCGCGCGAUUGGAGCGGCCGAUAUCAGAUUAGGUAGUUGGGGGGGUAAAGGCCCACCAAGCCAACGAUCUGUAGCUGGUCUGAGAGGAGGACACGCCACACUUGAACUGAGACACGGUCCAGACUCCUACGGGAGGCAGCAGUGGGGAAUUUUGGACAAUGGGCGAAAGCCUGAUCCAGCCAUUCCGCGUGCAGGAUGAAGGCCCUCGGGUUGUAAACUGCUUUUGUACAGAACGAAAAGGUUUCUACUAAUACUAGGAGCUCAUGACGGUACUGUAAGAAUAAGCACCGGCUAACUACGUGCCAGCAGCCGCCGUAA